rnacentral:rRNA from 1 species
UACGAAGGGGGCUAGCGUUGCUCGGAAUCACUGGGCGUAAAGCGCACGUAGGCGGAUUUGUAAGUCAGGGGUGAAAUCCCGGGGCUCAACCUCGGAACUGCCUUUGAUACUGCAAAUCUCGAGUCCGGAAGAGGUGAGUGGAAUUCCUAGUGUAGAGGUGAAAUUCGUAGAUAUUAGGAAGAACACCAGUGUCGAAGGCGGCUCACUGGUCCGGUACUGACGCUGAGGUGCGAAAGCGUGGGGAGCAAACAGGG